GCUGAUCUGGGCGCCGGUGGUGGCUUCAGCUCCUGCAAUGGGCGUGGUGAGGUCGGCAAGCGCCCGCUGGGUGUUCGAUACGCCGAUCGGCG
rnacentral:tRNA from 1 species